rnacentral:rRNA from 1 species
AUUGAACGCUGGCGGCAGGCUUAACACAUGCAAGUCGAGCGGAGAUGAGGUGCUUGCACCUUAUCUUAGCGGCGGACGGGUGAGUAAUGCUUAGGAAUCUGCCUAUUAGUGGGGGACAACAUUCCGAAAGGAAUGCUAAUACCGCAUACGUCCUACGGGAGAAAGCAGGGGAUCUCCGGACCUUGCGCUAAUAGAUGAGCCUAAGUCGGAUUAGCUAUUUGGUGGGGUAAAGGCUUACCAAGGCGACGAUCUGUAGCGGGUCUGAGAGGAUGAUCCGCCAAACUGGGACAGAGACACGGCCCAGACUCCUACGGGAGGCAGCAGUGGGGAAUAUUGGACAAUGGGGGGAACCCUGAUCCAGCCAUGCCGCGUGUGUGAAGAAGGCCUUAUGGUUGUAAAGCACUUUAAGCGAGGAGGAGGCUACUGAGACUAAUACUCUUGGAUAGUGGACGUUACUCGCAGAAUAAGCACCGGCUAACUCUGUGCCAGCCGCCGCAGUAACAC